UACUCUUACGGGAGGCAGCAGUGGGGAAUAUUGCCCAAUGGGGGCAAGCCUGAUGCAGCCAUGCCGCGUGUGUGAAGAAGGCCUUCGGGUUGUAAAGCACUUUCAGUAGGGAGGAAGGUAGUGUAGUUAACAGCUGCAUUAGUGACGUACCACAGAGAGCCCGUUC
rnacentral:rRNA from 1 species